GGCGGACGGGUGAGUAACGCGUGGGAAUCUGCCUACUAGCGGGGAUAGCCCGGAGAAAUCCGGAUUAAUACCGCAUACGCCCUACGGGGGAAAGCUGGGGAUCUUCGGACCUAGCACUAGUAGAUGAGCCCGCGUUGGAUUAGCUUGUUGUGGGGUAAUGGACCUACCAAGGCAACGAUCCAUAGCUGUUCUGAGAGGAAGAUCAGCCACACUGGGACUGAGACACGGCCCAG
rnacentral:rRNA from 1 species